rnacentral:rRNA from 1 species
UGAGGAAUAUUGGACAAUGGAUGGAAAUCUGAUCCAGCCAUGCCGCGUGCAGGAAGACGGCCCUAUGGGUUGUAAACUGCUUUUGUAUGGGAGCAAUAAGGUCUAUGCGUAGACUGAUGAGAGUACCAUACGAAUAAGCAUCGGCUAACUCCGUGCCAGCAGCCGCGGUCAUACGGGGGAUGCAAGCGUUAUCCGGAUUUAUUGGGUUUAAAGGAUGCGUAGGCGGUUUGAUAAGUCAGCGGUGAAAUAUUUCAGCUUAACUGAAAGGGUGCCGUUGAUACUGUCAGGCUUGAAUAUGGUUGCUGUGGGUGUAAUGUGUGGUGUAGCGGUGAAAUGCUUAGAUAGCACACAGAAUAUCGAUUGCGAAGGCAGCUCACAAAGCCAUUAUUGACGCUGAGGCACGAAAGUGUGGGGAUCGAACA